AGUGAACGCUGGCGGUAGGCCUAACACAUGCAAGUCGAACGGCAGCACAGUAAGAGCUUGCUCUUACGGGUGGCGAGUGGCGGACGGGUGAGGAAUACAUCGGAAUCUACUUUUUCGUGGGGGAUAACGUAGGGAAACUUACGCUAAUACCGCAUACGACCUACGGGUGAAAGCAGGGGAUCUUCGGACCUUGCGCGAUUGAAUGAGCCGAUGUCGGAUUAGCUAGUUGGCGGGGUAAAGGCCCACCAAGGCGACGAUCCGUAGCUGGUCUGAGAGGAUGAUCAGCCACACUGGAACUGAGAAACGGUCCAGACUCCUACGGGAGGCAGCAGUGGGGAAUAUUGGACAAUGGGGGAAAGCCUGAUCCAGCCAUACCGCGUGGGUGAAGAAGGCCUUCGGGUUGUAAAGCCCUUUUGUUGGGAAAGAAAAGCAGCAGGUUAAUACCCCGCUGUUCUGACGGUACCCAAAGAAUAAGCACCGGCUAACUUCGUG
rnacentral:rRNA from 1 species